GCCCGGAUAGCUCAGUCGGGAGAGCAGGGGAUUGAAACUCCCCGUGUCCUUGGUUCGAUGCCGAGUCCGGGCACCA
rnacentral:tRNA from 1 species